rnacentral:rRNA from 1 species
AUUGAACGCUGGCGGCAGGCCUGACACAUGCAAGUCGAACGGUAGCACAGAGAGCUUGCUCUCGGGUGACGAGUGGCGGACGGGUGAGUAAUGUCUGGGAAACUGCCCGAUGGAGGGGGAUAACUACUGGAAACGGUAGCUAAUACCGCAUAAUGUCGCAAGACCAAAGAGGGGGACCUUCGGGCCUCUUGCCAUCGGAUGUGCCCAGAUGGGAUUAGCUUGUAGGUGAGGUAACGGCUCACCUAGGCGACGAUCCCUAGCUGGUCUGAGAGGAUGACCAGCCACACUGGAACUGAGACACGGUCCAGACUCCUACGGGAGGCAGCAGUGGGGAAUAUUGCACAAUGGGCGCAAGCCUGAUGCAGCCAUGCCGCGUGUAUGAAGAAGGCCUUCGGGUUGUAAAGUACUUUCAGCGGGGAGGAAGGGAGUGAGGUUAAUAACCUUAUUCAUUGACGUUACCCGCAGAAGAAGCACCGGCUAACUCCGUGCCAGCAGCCGCGGUAAUACGGAGGGUGCAAGCGUUUAUCGGAAUUACUGGGCGUAAAGCGCACGCAGGCGGUCUGUCAAGUCGGAUGUGAAAUCCCCGGGCUCAACCUGGGAACUGCAUUCGAAACUGGCAGGCUGGAGUCUUGUAGAGGGGGGUAGAAUUCCAGGUGUAGCGGUGAAAUGCGUAGAGAUCUGGAGGAAUACCGGUGGCGAAGGCGGCCCCCUGGACAAAGACUGACGCUCAGGUGCGAAAGCGUGGGGAGCAAACAGGAUUAGAUACCCUGGUAGUCCACGCUGUAAACGAUGUCGACUUGGAGGUUGUUCCCUUGAGGAGUGGCUUCCGGAGCUAACGCGUUAAGUCGACCGCCUGGGGAGUACGGCCGCAAGGUUAAAACUCAAAUGAAUUGACGGGGGCCCGCACAAGCGGUGGAGCAUGUGGUUUAAUUCGAUGCAACGCGAAGAACCUUACCUACUCUUGACAUCCAGAGAACUUAGCAGAGAUGCUUUGGUGCCUUCGGGAACUCUGAGACAGGUGCUGCAUGGCUGUCGUCAGCUCGUGUUGUGAAAUGUUGGGUUAAGUCCCGCAACGAGCGCAACCCUUAUCCUUUGUUGCCAGCGGUCCGGCCGGGAACUCAAAGGAGACUGCCAGUGAUAAACUGGAGGAAGGUGGGGAUGACGUCAAGUCAUCAUGGCCCUUACGAGUAGGGCUACACACGUGCUACAAUGGCAUAUACAAAGAGAAGCGACCUCGCGAGAGCAAGCGGACCUCAUAAAGUAUGUCGUAGUCCGGAUUGGAGUCUGCAACUCGACUCCAUGAAGUCGGAAUCGCUAGUAAUCGUGGAUCAGAAUGCCACGGUGAAUACGUUCCCGGGCCU